rnacentral:misc_RNA from 1 species
GAUGAAGAACGUAGCGAAAUGCGAAAAGUAGUGUGAAUUGCAGAAUUCCGUGAAUCAUCGAAUCUUUGAACGCACAUUGCGCCUUCUGGUAUUCCGGAAGGCAUGCCUGUUCGAGAGUCAUUAACAACCGUUUCGAUCCCUUUCUUUCAGAAAUUACAAAGAGGAAAAGGGUUUGGUUAUGGUGGAGGAGGGAAAGGGAGCGUUUAGCCUGUAAAAAAAGAGGCUGUGUUCCGCCUCCCCCCCAAAAUUGUACAGGCGGUCGUGUGCGCCCACGCAUCGAGGUGUUGUAAAAGCUGCCACGGCACUUUUCACCUGUGCAGUGCGAGAUUGGCCAGCCGGUUUAAAAACCCCUCCAAACAAUCAAAGGUUGACCUCGGAUCAGGUAGGGAUACCCGCUGAACUUAAGCAUAUCAAUAAGCGGAGGA